UAGGGAAUAUUGGACAAUGGGUGCAAGCCUGAUCCAGCCAUGCCGCGUGCAGGAAGAAGGCCUUCUGGGUUGUAAACUGCUUUUGCCGGGGGAUAAAAUAGUCUUGCGAGACGAAUUGAAGGUACCCGGUGAAUAAGCCACGGCUAACUACGUGCCAGCAGCCGCGGUAAUACGUAGGUGGCAAGCGUUGUCCGGAUUUAUUGGGUUUAAAGGGUGCGUAGGCGGUCUUAUAAGUCAGUUGUGAAAUACGGCAGCUUAACUGUCGAGGUGCAAUUGAUACUGUAAGACUUGAGUACUGUUGAGGUAGGCGGAAUGGACGGUGUAGCGGUGAAAUGCUUAGAGAUCGUCCAGAACACCGAUAGCGAAGGCAGCUUACUAAAGAGUAACUGACGCUGAGGCACGAAAGUGUGGGGAUCAAACAG
rnacentral:rRNA from 1 species